rnacentral:rRNA from 1 species
CCUACGGGAGGCAGCAGUGAGGAAUAUUGGUCAAUGGACGAGAGUCUGAACCAGCCAAGUAGCGUGAAGGAUGACUGCCCUAUGGGUUGUAAACUUCUUUUAUAUGGGAAUAAAACGUUCCACGUGUGGGAUUUUGUAUGUACCAUAUGAAUAAGGGACGGAUAACUCCGUGCCAGCAGACGCGGUAAUGCGGAGGAUCCGAGCGUUACCCGGAUUUAUUGGGUUUAAAGGGAGCGUAUGUGGAAUGUUAAGUCAAGUGUGAAAUCUUGCGGCUCAACCGUAAAAUUGCAGUUGAAACUGGCAGUCUUGAGUACAUGAGAGGUGAGUGGAAUUCGUGGUGUAGCGGUGAAAUGCUUAGAUAUCACGAAGAACUCCGAUGGCGAAGGCAGCUCACUGGACUGCAACUGACACUGAGGCUCGAAAGUGUGGGUAUCAAACAGGAUUAGAUACCCCGGUAGUC